UACGUAGGGUGCAAGCGUUGUCCGGAAUUAUUGGGCGUAAAGAGCUCGUAGGCGGUUUGUUGCGUCGGCUGUGAAAUCCCGAGGCUCAACCUCGGGUCUGCAGUCGAUACGAGCAAACUAGAGUGUUGCAGGGGAGACUGGAAUUCCUGGUGUAGCGGUGAAAUGCGCAGAUAUCAGGAGGAACACCGGUGGCGAAGGCGGGUCUCUGGGCAACAACUGACGCUGAGAAGCGAAAGCGUGGGGAGCGAACAGG
rnacentral:rRNA from 1 species